CCCCGGCUCGGCUGAGGCGCUGAAAGGUAAAACGUGAGAAGCCCUCGCGUUGUCGGUAACGCAGCCUUGAGCCAUGGGGGUUUGCGGUGCCGGGUGUUUGCUUGGUGAUUUUGGGUUUAUUUUAAAAUAGUCGAGAUGUGCCAUUUUUAAUUUGGAAUGACUUGAAACAUGUAUCCAAAUUUUAAUUGCAUUGCCCUACCACUUUUAUUAAAAAAAUAUACUCCGAAUAAGAAUCAUAGGAAAAAACUUUCCCUUUGGUAGUUCUUUCCCUAAAGCUUGUCCCUGGGUUGGCGAGGACCCCAUUAUACACAUCUGGAAAUGAACACAAGCUGGAUGAAAUAAAGCAGCGGGCGGGAGGUGCCUUGUCCUCGCUCUGGCCCUGUCAGGAGAGGGGCUGAGCGUUCUGGAGCUGAAAGGGUGGAGGGUGUUUCGGUUGAGGCCAAGCUCCGUUUUUUGUUGAUACGCUUUGCUCAGGUUAAAUAAACAACCAACAUCAAACCACACAAAUUCAACUAAAAAUUAUCAACGAGUUUCAUGUACAGGAGUGCAUAAUCUGAGAUGGUUGGCCUUGUUAAGGGCUGUGGCAGAAAUCCAGUUAUCAGAAACGCAUGACGCAGUGAGUGUAAUUUAGCUGUGAGUAUCUCUGCAUGAAACUCAGUGUCCUCAUUUGUAAGGAUCCCAUGCUCAUGUCAUUCCUCUGGACUAGUACUGCCUGAGGAGGUGCUUCACCACUGCUUUUCUCUGGACCCCACUUUCCUGCCAGUGGGAACUGAAUCUCAGGGACCAAUGAGCCACAGUGUGCAGCACAGGCAAAUGCAAGUAUGUGUGAUCCGAACUCCCUCACUGUAGCCAGCGAUCCUUCUGAGACUUCCUUGCUGCAGCAGGGGUGGUGCAGCACGCUCAUGAGCAGACUGCAUAUGUGAGGCCGUGUCGCACAUAUGUGCAGGGAAGGGAGAGGAAGGAGCCUUUUCUCUUUGUAUCCUUUUUGUAGGGAUUAGUUAUAUCUACCAAUAAAGGCCUCUGCAAAGAGUUGUUCUAGCUCUUUGCACACCAGUUGCUUUUUCAGUGGUUCUGGGAUGUGUAUGGACCUGGCUGCUUAGUUAGAUUGCAUUUUCCUGUUUGGGAAUAAAUUUUAUAUGGUUGGGCAGAAGACGGGACCCUACAUGAAGACUUUGAGGGAACUGAUUGAAACAUCAGUCAUACUUUGGAGGAAAGAACCCACUUGGAAUAUGUUACAGUGUGUAAUCAAGAGAAAUGGAGGACAGGGAUGAUCUUGUGCUAUUUCAGAGGGAGAUGUAAUUUUCUUCUGUGCUGAAGUGCAUUUCCACAGUUGAGGAGUUUUAGGCUUUUUAGGCUUUUAGACCAGCAAAUCUUUCCUAGCAUGUCACACAUGGAGGAUAAUCCCUUAGGUGUAGCACUUCUUCCCAAUUCACAUAAAAUAAAAAUCUAUAAACUUACAGGUGGGCCAGGAUAACCAUCUCCUUU